GCCGGUAUGGCGCAAUUGGGAGCGCACCGGACUUGUAAUGCGGGGGUUGCGGGUUCAAGUCCCGCUACCGGCCCCA
rnacentral:tRNA from 1 species